GCUCCUUCACUCUAAAAAAGAAGAAAGAGAAAGUCCCCAGAACAAGUCACCGGUUACCCCAGCCAAUCCAAAACAAACUUCCAUGUCCUCCACAUCGGAAAUGGAAUUCACUGACCAAGAACUAGAUCAACUCAAUCGAAGCACCCACGAGCCUAAGGAUGGAACAACACCUACACAACCUCCAUCAACUGACAAGGUAAGUUAUCGUAACACCCUCUCUUCACCACCGUCUGCCAUACCCAAUGACCUUGAAUCAACAUUUUAAAACAAUUUAUCUCUACUGCUCUACAUGAUGAGCAAAUUAACCUAUCCAAUCAACCCCACUUCAUUCCUAUUUCCUCAGAUGACAAAACCAUACUAUACCGACCUUGGCACCAAUCAGUUAUUGUGAAACUAUUUGGCAAAAAAAAUAUCUUACACUAACCUUAAAAGUAAAUUACAAUCCUUAUGGCAGCCAAGUGAAUCUCUUAAAUUAAUAGAUCUAGGGUUUGAUUACUAUCUGAUUAAAUUUUUCUACAUCGAUAAUUAUACAACCGCCCUAACAAAAGGCCCUUGAUUUAUUCGAUCUCAAUAUUUAAUAGUACAACUGAGGGAACCCAAAUUUAACCCCGCUAUAGAACAAACAAUCUACUCUACUAUUUGGAUACACUUACAAGAGCUACCUACUGAAUAUGAGGACCUCCAAAUAUUUCGCAUAAUAGCAGCUUCAUAGUAAUGUUAUUAAAAAUUGAUACCUCACCAUUAACACUUUGAGGGGUAGGUAUGCAAGACUUUGUCUAUUAGCUCCUAUUGGUAAAUCCUUACGCACAGAAGUCCUCUGAGGAAAACGUACCCAACCGAUUCAUUACGAAGACUCCACUAAUUUAUGUAUAAAGUAUAUAUGGCUGUUUAGUCCAUAAUUUACAUUACUGUCCGAAAAUAACACUCCAAGCUCGUCUGCCAAUCUAUCCAUACAUGUCACUAAUUUACCUACAACUGACAAUAAUACCAAGCCCUUGGAAGACGGUUUCUUACCUAAAGAUUUCUAAAACUACUAGAGGCAAAACCAAUACUGAAAACACGGCCACCGCCCAAACCAAAAAUACGGCUGCACACAUUACUGACAAUGAGGCUCACUUACAAGAUUCUCCACAAAGUCAUGUAGCCCUAACAAAUAUGUUUGAAUUCCCCCUGAAACCCUAUUCGAUCACCCCACUACUAUGCUAUCUGUUACUUCUCCAGCCGAUCACCAUACCCUAAUCUCACUCAUUUCACAGCCAAUUAUACUAGAAAUACAAAUACAUCCACUGCCGCUACACAAAUGGACUUUACCUUUGCUUUAGCAAAAAAUCUCAUCACUUCUCCAUUUCUUCAUUCCUUAGUCCGUAAAUCUCAACAAUAAAAAAUGAUGCACCAUUCACCAAAACCUAGGACCUCAUCAUUAAACAUUCACUAUCACCAAACAUCCCCUAUAUUCACUCCUGACCCUCAAGACCUACACUCCAUCAAUGACGACACACCACUUCCAUCCAACACGUUAUCACCUUAAGAGCUUAGCACACUACCCUCCAUGUAUCAUUCACACAAGGAACCACAGUCAUAACUACUUACUCCUCCUACAUCUACACAGAAUCGUAUCCACACCCAUACUGCAAAACAACCAUCAACACCAGUCACUACCAUCACAAACUCUACUCAUAACAUUGCCCGAACUACCAUAAGAAUUACAACAUCCACUGCUUACACAUUGGAACUUCCACCUCAACAAGGUGAUCAUCACUUUUCUUGUAAUAACCUAAGCCAUGCAGAACAAGGGCUGCCAUCCACAUUCACGCAACACUUUAUAAAUACACACUCUCAUCAAACUAUACCUCUAUUUAUUUCACCAUCUCCUAACCACUUCUCCCAUAAUGCAUCGAUAUCAGUUCAACAUAACUCAUCCCCAUCAUCACUGCCAGAGGUGUUACGCCAACACUGGUCACAUCACCCACCACCACUAUCCAUCCACUUCAAAUCACCAUGCCUAUGCUCACCCACUGCCACUAAUAGGGGGGCCCUUACUUUGUCAUCACUCCCUGCACUACUUCAACCCCAUGCCACUUCAACUACUACUAGUUCCACCACCAUCACCACCACCCAUUCUCUUGGACCUGCACAUGUAAUGCAAUUAAUCAAACAACAAGAUAUCACCGCCCUCCAACUUCAAGCAUAUCUCCAACAGUAUCAACAAUGACAAUACCAUAUUUACCAGUCGCAGUUGCCACGGGGUACGCCCCAACAACUCAACUACUGGCCCUGGUAUGCCACAAACCAACAACCGAUGAAAGACAUUCAAAAACUGGAGCAACCAACACAGGUAGCACACGAGAUAUUGGAAAUAUCACUACCAAUAUCACCACCUAUAACUCAUCCACAGGAGACGCCACCUCAAGCAGACUAACAAGAAGAAGAAACUGACCUGUUAGAGACUUUAAUGGAGACACUAGUGUUGAACGAUUAUAUGAUGAUCUCCAUGCCAGAAAAUAUAGAAAAAAAAAUCUAAUAUUCAUCCCACCUGCAAUGGAGAAAGCCUCAUUGAAUAUCCACCACGACCCCUUUUCCUUGGAGGAGAAAUACAUGAUUCUCAUACACCCUCCAAGACAACCUACUGCAUGCAACUCUUUAUAAUCCACCGCACCUGCUAAUGCAUCUGGAACUAUUCCUAGCUACAUGGGAGACACCAACUCACAAUGAUAGUCUAAUGAAGAUCAUGUUAUGGAACUGCCGGGGAGCAAACAAUUAAGAGUCCCGCCGGAAUCUAACUUUUCUGCUCAAUUGGAAUAAUCCAUCCAUUUUGUGCCUCACAGAAACCAAAAUGGAGGAUCAUACAGAUCUUCUUAAUGAUUACAACUUCACUGAUCUCAGAUAAGUUGCUGCAAGGGGCCAAUCAGGAGGAAUUGUGCUACUAUGAUGCUCUCACGACCUAAUUGUGAACCCGAUGGCUAUCACGAGCCAGGAGAUCCACGCCUCUGUCCAGGUAAGCAAAUCUCCCACUUGGUUUUUAAUCUAUGCUAGUAAUUCAUACGUCCAUAGAGAAAUCUUAUGGCAAAAUCUUUCAAAAUUUCAUAAAAUAUCAUAACCAAUCAUGGCUCCGCCGUGGUGAUUUUAAUGAAAUCUCUAACUCCCCCGAAAAAUUUGGAGGAGCACCAACAAGAAUAAAUAGAUCCUUUGCUUUUAAUAAUUGUAUUAAUAAUAUCAACAUGAUUGACCUGGGCUUCCCAAGCUCCCGCCUUACUUGGACUAAUAAACCUAAAACACAUCAACCUCAAACAUCUAACAAUAAGCUUAUCAUGGAAUGUUUGGACAAAUUUUACGCAAACCAUGCGUGGGUCAAUCUAUUCCAAGAUUCUCAUGUGACACAUCUACUACGUACACAUUCCGACCACUGCCUGAUGAUUCUUAACCUCACAAAAACCUAUUCUAAACCUAACUCUAAUGUCAAACUUGAAACUCCAGCAUUCUGAUUUUUCUCGUCUGCUAAACGAAGCUUGGCUUAAUCAAAAUGACUAUCUUAUAGGUCUAAACAUUUUCACUGACACCGCUACUGAUUGAAACAUCAAUACUUUUGGAAACAUUUUCUAUAAAAAAAACUUUAUUAGCUAGAUUACAAGGCCUCCAAUGUAUGGAUCCUAACCACAAAAUUUCUUUUCACUACAACUUAGAAAAUAAGCUUACUACGGAUUUUAAUAUUCUUCUUCACCACGAAGAAGAAUUUUGAAAAUUAAAUCUAGACUUCAUUGGAUAAACGAUAGUGAUGUGAACACCACCUUUUUCCACCUCUCCACUAUUCAACGACGAAGACACAAUCGCAUAUUAGCUCUACAUGAUGCCGUAGGAAAAUGGACUUUUAACAUUUCUGAAAUACAUGAUACAAUUAUUUCUCAUUUAAACUUUAUUCCACCCAAUUAUACUCGAGCUGCUAUGAUCACACCCACUCCUACUAUAAUUAAUUAACAGAUGAAGAGAUCCACAAGUUACAACUUCCCUUAACCCCUUCAGAAAUCAAAAACGUUGUUCACUCCUUCAAACCAUUAAAAGCUCCUGGACCUGAUGUGACCUCAUUUUUUCUAAAAAUUUGGGAGCAAACGAAGCAUGCAGUUAUACACACUUGUCAUACAGCUUUCAACACAUCCACUAUUCCGAAAAUUAUAAAAUCAACGUUCGUCACACUAAUACCAAAAGUACCUCACCUUUAAAAUAUCAAUCAAUAUCGACCUAUCAACCUUCGUAAUACCAUUUAUAAAAUCAUCACUAAAAUAAUUGUUCAUAGAAUGAGACAUCUCCUACCUAACCUCAUCAAUCCAACUCAAAGUAGUUUCAUUCCUGGACAUAGAGCAGUCAUCAAUGCAAUAUUUGUCCAAGAACUCAUCAACUCCUUCCAUAUACAAAAAGGUCAAACUGAGAAUAUGAUGAUCAAAAUCGAUCUCGAAAAAGCAUUUGACAGACUUGAAUAAUCCUUUAUUCGUUUCUCCCUCCGACACUUGAAAUUCCCUCUCAAAUUGAUAAAUUUAAUUAUGUCCUGUGUUACCACUACUUCUAUAUCAAUACUUGUCAACGGGAAACCUGCCCUUUUUUUCAUUCAUCAAGAGGUUUACGACAAGGAGACCCUCUCUCUCCCUACAAUUUAUUAUAUGUAUGAAAUCCCUCUCAACUUAUUGAACAUCAUAUUGACACACUUACAUGGACACCUAUCAAAAUUAAUAGGACUGCAUCAUGCCUAUCACAUCUAUUCUUUACUGACGAUCUAAUCUUAUUAACCAAGGCUGACACCAAUAAUGCUCAAACUAUCAUUAAUAUAUUUAAUCAAAUAAGCUCUAAAUCUAGCCAACAUAUCAACUGCCAAAAGAAAUCGGCGUAUUUAGACAACAACAAUAGAAAUACUAUCACUAAUCCACUUAACAUUCCCCAAGCCGAAAAUUUCGGUAAGUAUCUGGGCCUACCUAUCACUAAUCUCCAACCAAAAUCCAACGACUACCAAUAUAUUCUUGAUAGAUUCAGCAUAAACUAUCGGGCUGAAAAACUAAAUUUCUAACACUUGCCAGAUGGGCAACUCUUAUUACCUCAGUCCUCAAUUCAAUUCCCAUCUACACUAUGCAAAAUAAUAUCAUUUCACCCAAAGUUACGAAACAACUUGAUCGCAUGCAGCGUAAUUUCUUAUGGGGUUCUACAAUCCAUCAACGCAAACUCCACUUAAUCAACUGGGCUUUAGUAACAACUCCCAAAAAACAUGGGGGACUAGGUAUCCCAAAACUCAAAUACAAAAAUUUAGCUAUUCUUGCCAAUCUUUUAUGGCGCUACUCCAACAACCCCUCAACUCUUUAGGCACAUAUGCUUUCUUCCAAAUAUAACUUGCAUAUAUAAGCAAACCCCAAAUUCAUUUAUCACCUUCACAAUAAAUCCAAUGCCUCUUAUAUUUGGAACACUACGACAAAGGUAGCUUAAAUAUGUCGACAAGGUACUAGUUGGCAUAUUGCCAACGGCCAAUCCAUUAGCAUGUGGAACGACCACUGGAUUACAACAAACACCUCAUUGAGGCAACUCAUACAAGGGCCCCUACCUUAACAUGAAAUUCUUUCACCCCUCUCCAACAUCAUAGCGUCUCAUUCUUGAGAUUUCUCUCCGCUUUCAUUCAUCCAACCCCUAGACAUACACAAUCCAUAUCAUAAUACACUCAUACAUACACAACCCUAAACAUACACUCAUACACAUGUUUCCCUAUGCGCCUGGCAAACAUUUUUGGCAUAACACCUCCACUGACCACUUCUCCACAUCCUCCGCCUACCAUCUCACACUACAAAAAACAAACCCACGACCUACCCAAUUCAUUCAUUCAUUCUUGGAUAUGGAAAUUAACCACUUUACCAAAAAUCAAAUACUUCCUAUUCUUUUUUUACAUGUCAAACUCCCCACGACUUUGUUGCUACGUCAUAGGAAUAUUUCACCCACAACAAUUUGUAAAAUUUGUUCCCACCACACUGAAGACAUUUCCCACAUUUUCCUUCACUACAAAAAUGCUUUUACCUUAUGGCAACAUUUUGGCUACACCGUACCCUCCCACGAUUUUUUCACUUGAUUACAGCACCAAUGUACCACUACCACCUUAAUCCAUACAACCUCCAACAUUAAUCUGCCUUCCUCUAUACUUACACUGGUCUAUGGAAAAUAUGGAUCACCCGCAAUCUCAAUGUCUUUAAUAACACAAAACAAAAUGUUUAUAUUCCUGUAGGCAUAUAAAUUGUAUUAGAAUUAAAUUUAUAAAUUAAUUUGGACUAUAUUUAAAAUUCAAGAUAUAUUGGUCCAAAUAAAUAUUAUAGGCUAAUAUAAUUAAAUUAAUUAUAUAAGUCCAAUACAUAUGGGUUAAAUAAAUAAGUCUUAAUACAUUGGGCUAGAGUGAUGAGUCCACUUCAUCAAGCCCAAGAUGUCAUCUUUCUAGAUGCCCAGUUUGGUGCCACGUGUCAAAUGACGUGGCACGCCAAGUCAAACGAAAGAGCCAAUAGGAUUGUGCCAUGUGUCAAAAUGACAAGGCAUGCUCAGUCACACUAAAAGGCCAAUAAAAUCGUGCCACGUGUGCAAGUGACAUGUUCUGGCCAAUCAAAUGCGGUCAUGUCACACUUCAAUUUGAUUGGUCGGAAAGAGUUUGUUCUUAUCUUGACUCCUUCCUUCCACAACUAUAAAUAGGGGUCUUCAUAACUCAGAAAAGACACCAAAAGUUAUAACAAGAAGCAAGAAAGAGCUCGUAGAUCAAACGCGGAAAAUUCCUCCACAAGUUUCAAGCUUCAAGUUCAAUUUCAAGAAAUCAAGUUCAAGCUCAAGAAUGAAGAACAAAUCAAGUUCAAGAUCAAGCUCAAAGGCCCUUGAAUUUAUUUACCAUUGAAAAGAAGAAUAAGAGGAUUCAUAGAGAUUGUAACACUCAAAUAUUUGAAAUAAAAUACUAUGAUUGUUGUGAUAUUUUUCAGUCUUGAUCUUAUUUUCUCG
rnacentral:lncRNA from 1 species